rnacentral:rRNA from 1 species
GACGAACGCUGGCGGCGUGCUUAACACAUGCAAGUCGAACGGAAAGGCCCUGCGUUUGUGGGGUGCUCGAGUGGCGAACGGGUGAGUAACACGUGAGUAACCUGCCCUUGACUUUGGGAUAACUUCAGGAAACUGGGGCUAAUACCGGAUAGGAGCUCCUGCUGCAUGGUGGGGGUUGGAAAGUUUCGGCGGUUGGGGAUGGACUCGCGGCUUAUCAGCUUGUUGGUGGGGUAGUGGCUUACCAAGGCUUUGACGGGUAGCCGGCCUGAGAGGGUGACCGGCGACAUUGGGACUGAGAUACGGACCAGACGGCUACGGGAGGCAGCAGUGGAGAAUAUUGCACAAUGGGGGGAAGCCUGAUGCAGCAGCGCCGGGUGCGGGAUGACGGCCUUCGGGUUGUAAACCGCUUUCGCCUGUGACGAAGCGUGAGUGACGGUAAUGGGUAAAGAAGCACCGGCUAACUACGUG